rnacentral:rRNA from 1 species
GACGAAGGGGGCUAGCGUUGUUCGGAAUUACUGGGCGUAAAGCGCGUGUAGGCGGUUGGUCAAGUCAGGUGUGAAAGCCUUGAGCUCAACUCAAGAAAUGCACUUGAUACUGAAUGACUAGAGGACCGGAGAGGAUAGUGGAAUUCCCAGUGUAGUGGUGAAAUACGUAGAGAUUGGGAAGAACACCAGUGGCGAAGGCGGCUAUCUGGACGGUUACUGACGCUAAGACGCGAAAGCGUGGGGAGCAAACAGG